AAAAUAAAUUAUUUCUUUUAAAAAAUUCAACUAAUAAUAAUAGUCAACACUGAUCGACUGACAAAUUCGAAACCUAAUUCCUUAGCCCUCUAUUUUUAAACAGAAGGAAAGAAUAUUUCUCAGCCUUUUUUUUAUUUCUUUUUAAUAAAAUGGCGAGACAUAUUGAAGCUUGAAAAACUUCGGCGAAUCAUGAGAGAUUAUUCGGUACGAACCGAAUAUUUGAAUGCACCAGCCGGUUCUAGCUCGCGGAGGACCAGCAAUGUUUUUCAGUUAUUGGCACGGAGAGAAGUUUCUCCACGAACCAAGCGGUCAUCACGAAAGUUAUGGGGAGAAGGGUCAAAGAGCCGUCCUGAUUCCUUUGGGCCACAAUGUCAGGCAACAAGAGAUGCAAGAUCUGAUCUUCUUUCCUGGGCAGAGGCAGAGUCGUUGCAGCACUUUUCGGCAAAAUACUGCCCAUUGUUGCCUCCUCCGAGGUCUACUAUUGCAGCAGCCUUUAGUCCUGAUGGGAAAACGCUUGCUUCUACGCAUGGAGAUCAUACAGUUAAGAUUAUCGAUUGCCAGACUGGAAACUGUUUGAAGGUGUUGAGUGGUCAUCGCAGGACGCCUUGGGUGGUUAGGUUCCAUCCAUUGUAUCCGGAGAUACUUGCAAGUGGAAGUUUGGAUCAUGAAGUUCGCUUGUGGAAUGCAAAUACUGCUGAGUGUAUAGGAACACGUGAUUUCUACCGCCCUAUUGCAUCUAUUGCUUUCCAUGCUCAAGGGGAAGUUCUUGCAGUAGCCUCAGGGCAUAAGUUAUACAUAUGGCAUUACAAUAGGAGAGGAGAGACAUCAUCUCAUUCUAUUAUACUGAAGACACGACGUUCUCUUCGAGCUGUACAUUUUCAUCCAUACGCGGCUCCAUUUCUUUUGACUGCUGAGGUCAAUGAUCUUGAUGCACCUGAUUCAUCAAUGACAGUGGCAACUUCUCCUGGUUACUUGUGUUAUCCAGCCCCAACUGUAUAUUUGGCAAAUGAUCGAUCUAAUUUGACAAAUGAACUACCUCUAAUGUCUUUACCUUCCAUGAUAUGGCCAUCAUUUUCUAGAGAUAAUGGAAGAACAUCUUUGCAGAAUACUGAUGGUAACGUUGGUUCAAAUGGUGUGCGUCAGAGAGGUGAUCAAUCAGCUUCAGUACGGCUUCUGACCUAUUCAACUCCAACAGGGCAGUAUGAGCUUUUGUUGUCUCCUGUUGAACCCAAUAGCUCUUCUCCAUUGCCCGAAGAAACAGGAGGCAAUCCUUUACCAACUGAGAUGGAAACUGAUGUUUCCUAUUCUGCAAUGGAGCCCAUGGAGACAAUGGAGGUGCAAUCAGUGGAGAGAACUAUUCAAUUUUUCCCUUUUGGUGAUCCAACCUCAUGGGAGCUACCUUUCUUGCAAGGAUGGUUAAUCGGUCAGACUCAAGCUGGUCAGCGCAAUAUGCGUUUGGCUACUGGCGAUGGUCAUGAUAACUCGCUUCCAGCUGGUGAUACAGGAACUUCUGCUUCAGUAGCUUCCUCAGGUAUGGCCACGAGUGUUGGCCACUCAAGAGUUCAUGGAAGAUCAAGUUCACGGCAUCGUUCUUCACGUUCUCGCAUGGUCUCCUUAGGCGGAACUGCAGAAUCUGGUUUUAGCAACAUCAUACAUGAUGGUAGUGAUCCUCAACCUGCUGCCAGCAGAAUUCAAUCUGAACUUGCCACAUCUCUUGCGUCUGCAGCAGCAGCAGAACUUCCUUGCACUGUUAAACUUAGAAUAUGGCCACAUGAUAUGAAAGAUCCUUGUGCUUUCCUUGAACCAGAGAAAUGUCGCUUGACCAUUCCGCAUGCUGUGCUUUGUAGUGAAAUGGGUGCACAUUUUUCACCUUGUGGGAGAUUUUUGGCAGCCUGCGUUGCCUGUAUGCUUCCUCAUUUGGAAGCCGAUCCCGGAGUCCAGAGCCAGCUUAAUUCUGAUGUUGCAGGAGUUGCAGCAUCACCCACACGCCACCCAAUUUUAGCACAUCGAGUUGUGUAUGAGCUUCGUAUAUAUUCGCUUGAGGAGGCCACAUUUGGAUUGGCGCUUGCUUCACGGGCAAUAAGAGCUGCUCACUGCUUAACAUCUAUUCAGUUUUCACCCACAUCCGAGCAUAUAUUACUUGCUUAUGGUCGUCGCCACAGCUCACUUCUCAAAAGUUUGGUAAUAGAUGGACAGACCACGGUGCCCAUUUACACCAUUCUGGAGGUGUACAGAGUUUCUGAUAUGGAGCUUGUGAGAGUUCUUCCAAGCGUAGAGGAUGAGGUAAACGUGGCUUGCUUUCAUCCCUCUAUCGGCGGUGGCCUUGUAUAUGGAACAAAGGAAGGAAAGCUAAGGAUUCUCCAGUAUGAUAGUUCAAAUGGUUUGAGACAUAACACAUCCGGUUUUCUUGAUGAAAAUAUGCUCGAGGUAGGAGGCCCAAGUUUGCAGGUCCCAACAUAUGCUUUAGAAUGCUAGUGUUAUCGAUAAAGCCUGUUCAGUUGACUCGCAGCUCAGCUUUGAUGGUUAAUUUGAUCCCUUCCCGCCGUCUUCAUGUGUACCAUCGUUGUAGCUACUCGCCGGAUUUUUUUUUUUUUGGUUACGGCCACAAACUACUCGAACACUAUUUUGCAUCUCUCUGUAAAGUUUCUCAUCCGGUAGGAAGAUUCCAACCCGAUCUUGUAUUUUCUAUUCGUUGUUUUCCUUAGGGACACAUGUUUACGCCUUCAUCGUAGAAACCAUUUGAACUCGAACAAGUUGAAUCGGGAUUAAGAACGUCGGUUGUUCCAUCUA